ACUAGUUUCCUAUUCCUUACAGCUCGUCUCUUUCAUUCUCGUCUUUGUGGUUUGAGUGCACUAUCUUAGAAUCAAUGUACUCACUCUGCAGCCGCAAUAGCCUGGCAUGAAAUGAGAAGAGCUUGGAGAGGUGAUUGAUCUAGUGCUUCCCCACAAAAGCCUAGGGAGCCAACGAGGCACUGCUCGAACACGUUCAUGGAGGGGCGUUUUGAUAAACCAGUUCCUUUAUCUUGUGGGAAGAAGACUAAUGCGACUCUUUAUGACCAAGAAACACGUCUGCCUUUCUUGCUGCUUUCGUCUUAACUAGUGCGAGUUUUUGUUAGUCGAUGAUCUUGGAACUGAAUCUUGCAGUUCUUGGUGUAGUAGGAGUUUCAAAAAUGGAUAUUGGUUUUCUUGUUUGCAAUUCUUUUCCAAGAUUGAUUGCGUUGUUGAAUGCUUCUUUGACUUUUCAA